rnacentral:lncRNA from 1 species
UAUUUUUAAACAAAUUUCAUAAGUUCCACAACUUUUAUCAACUUUCCAACUUUCAUUUACUCUUCUUUUAUUAGGAGUGCAAAAAUGUGUUAAAAAAUAAGCACACCAUAAAUUCAAGCUGUAAAGAGCUUAUAUAUCCACACGUGUCUACGAGUACAAGGAAAAAGGUAGCUUAGAGACGAAGUGGCACCGAUUAAAACUAUGUCCAUUACUUUGCACACGAGAUAAUCUAUAGCAACAUCAUCAUCAUCAAGGUAGUGCAAUGCAAACAUAUUCGUCUACGUGCACACAAUACAUAUCUACAUAGUAAAAGCUCCAUUCCGCGGCUGCUCUUCAUUCAGAUUUUCUCGAUUCAGGGUGGCUUGAAACAUGUCUAGCAGAAUUGUAAGAUGAAAUUGCUGAUCUCGUAGUAUGAAGCGAAUGCUUGGCUAAACUUAAGCUUUUCUUCGUCACCAGCCACACAGUGCAGAAGAAUCCAAUCCAACCUGAUUCCCACAAGUUUGUUAUGAUUGCAUGAUAUAUAAAAUAACAAGGUAGAAUCUACGUUUUCUCACAAUCACAGACAUUGGCUUAUACGUAAUAAUAGCAGAACAGAGAGUCGACAUCUAACAUAAAAACAAAAGAGAUAACAUACUUCAUACUUCCAUUCUGAGUCUAUCUUUUUACUUUGUUCAUAGACACUAUCUUAAGACAUAUUCAAGAGGAGUUCGUUGAUAAAUAGGCUUAGUUCAUAGACUAAAAGAGAGAGAACUUGCAUAUUAGAAGUUUGGAAGGGCCUUUUGGAAUCUGUAGAUUUUCAGUGUGCAAAAGAACUCAGAAAAUAUACAAAAUUCAUUUUUAGCCAUACUCGAAAUAAGAACGAUAGUGGAAACAACGCAUAGGAUCAUAAUGAUCAAAAGAAUUCAGGUUCAUAUAAAAAUAAGUUAAUAGGACUUGAAAAGAACAUAAUAUAGGAUAACAUAAGUUUAGACAAAACUCAGAGGUGCUGUAAGGUUUCUAUGUGAUUGGACGAUACCUACCGAAUUGGAAAGAAAGUUACCACAUACCAUUUGACUAUUUGUCCUUUUUGGAACUAAUUGUCUAGCUUGUGAAAGACAAAAUGUCUACUAAAUUGAGCGUUGAGCCGUUUAACAAAANUUUUUGAACAACGUUAGCGAGGAACGGACUUUUGUUUUUCCAUUUUGAACUAUUAGACAACAAUCUUUUUUAUUAUGUCUUUUCAAUGUGAAAGUAGAAAUAUGGAGAAUACUAGCAUCUAAGUUCAAUUUAAUUCUAACUUCAAAUUUAAGUUUCAAUACCCAUAAACAAUUGAACUUAAAUUUUGCUGAAUGUUGGCUAAGUUUCAAAAAGAAGAAGAUGUAUUUGGGCAACUUUAUUCUAAUUUCAGAUUGCAUUACUCAAUACGACUCGUAUGGAGUUACUUUUAAUAGAUCCUAAAAUUAUACAUGAGCAGUGGUGGAUCUAGAAAAAAAUUCAACAUGGACUAAUACGUAUAAAAUAUAUGGGCAUUUGGGCUGAAGGGACAGAUUGUAACAUGGCGCAGCCCGUUUCUGGAUCCGCUCAUGUACAUGAGCUUGCAAUGGAUGAUUGCCAUGUAUCACGCUAUCAUCAAGGCUGAGUGUGAUAUGAGUUCACGAUAUUCCCAAGCACAAUAUGUGAAAUUAAUCGGGGACUUUGCCAUAAUACUAUUCACAGCAAUCUAAUAAUAUAGAGAUAAGUCAAACCUUUCAGCUUUGUGACAAAUAUGGCUAUUCAAAAAUGAGAAUGUCUUCAAAAAAAGUGACUAAAUGCGCUAUCAAAACGAGUCACGCAGGCUAUAAUUCGUUAUAUUCUUACCAUAUAGUGAAUUUAGUGAGUGGAUGUUUGUUAUAAGAAAUAAUUAAAAUUUUCAUUUAUGCAUUUUGAUUAAAAAACGAUAUAUUGUUAUACAGUUCAAGAAUUACUCAAUUUCAUAUUUCUUCACUUUGUUCUUUGCAACACAUAUCCUAUCACUUAUUCAAAUCUUGAAUCACUAUGGUUGGGUUUGCCCAAAUUAGUAGAAUUAAGAGUAGGAGUCAAAGUAGUAAUUUAAUUAACAUUUGUGCUACAUAUAUAUAAUGAUUUACAUACACAUGAUGUAGAUAGAUAUGAAUAGGUCGAAAUUUCUUUAAUCAAAUAAAAAAAAUCCUUAAUUACCUUCUUUUUGAUACCUCAUCUGUACGUAAAUCAUUAUCUACAAGUAGCAUUUUUCUUUAAUUAAAAUCCUAACAUAACCGUGAGUUUUAAUUGGAAAAAAAAAUUUUCUCCUUAUUGAUAAAAACUAAAAUCCAGAUCUUAGUCUUAAGUUAAAGUCAACAACUAAUUAUAAUUACACAAUUUAUGAGAUCCACAAUUUUUCAACCACGUAGCUCAUUAACUUUUAUUAAAAUUUAUUAAAAAUGUGAUUUAAUUCCCACUGAACAGGAAUUUAGUAUGCAACACUAUAUGAAUCCUAAUGCAAUUGAGAAAACGACUUUGAGUACAAUUUUCACGUUGUAAUUAGUCAACUUAAACUGUGUAUAUAUUGUCAAUGUGAUUUUCCUAAAGAUUUUAAUAAAAGUCGAUAAAUUUUAUGAUUAAAAAAUUGAGAAAAUGUCAACGAUAAACAAAGAGAAGUGAUUAAACAGAUGAUUUCACCUCAGAGACAAGGAGAGGUUGACCCUAUUCUAUUAGGUAAGAAGAUUUUAAGCUUCAAUGUGUCAAGUUUAUUGAAAUGAAUUCCAACUCUGUGAGUUGUUGUCCUCUUUUUGGGGAAAGCAGUGACGGUGGUGCCGGUCCUUACCCAACCACUUCACCCACUUCAAUGCUCGAAUACUUUCUCGUACCUUUUUCUGAACAAAUCAAAGAACCUAAUAGUCGAUCGUGUCGAAAUUGAUUUCCAACUUCCAGCUAAAUGAGGUAGGUCCCAUGCAGGGGCAGAGAAACAAAGUAAUUCCGUUUAAUUGAUUCAUCUAAAAAAAAAAUUCCACAAAAAUUUUUUACCUACGAAAGUAAGGUUGGACAAAAUUCUCGAAUCGAAUUGAAUCAAACAAAUCUUCUUAAGUUAAAUACCCAAAUGGGCAUCUAAAUCAAGAACCGAUGGAUUUGGUUCAGUUUUCGGUUCUAGAUCAAAAAUCGAAUAUCUCUAAUUUUUUUAAUUAAUUUAUUUUAAAUAAACCAAAUUAUUUUAUUUUUUUCUAAAUAAAUUUGCUGACUAAUUAAUCUAACUCAAACCCAAAAAUAUGACUUUCUUAUUUCUAAUUUUCAGUUCAAAGCUAACUUAAUCAAAUUGAUCUAAGUUUUAUUAAAAUUUAUUACUCUAACGUAGUACCGUUUCUACCGUUUUAGAGAAUCAAAUUGAAACUUGACACAACACCUUUCUUAAUUAUUGUAAGCUCGCUAUCUUCAUCUUUCUAUGAUUUUAACAAUCAAAUCUAUGAAGAACUUAGCAAAGAGAAACACAAAAGAUACAUAAGAUUGAACUACGUUAUUUUGUAAGAGCUAAGAUUGAAUAUAUCACUAGUUGAAUUAAUAUAACUUUGUAAAUAUUAAAAUAAUUAAUUAUAAUACGGAAUUUGAGAAUCGAAUCGAACCGAACUGAAUCGAAUGGAAUCGAACCCGAAUGUUCGAUAAUUAAAUUUGAACCCAACUAUUUCACUUACUAAAUACUCGAAAAUUUCAAGGUCCGAUUCGGUUCUUGUUAGAAUUUAACCGAACCGGAUCAUGUCCAACCCUAUACUAAAGUUCAAAUGGGCUACUACCUUUCCCAUCGUCGGUUUAAAAAAUAUGGAUAAAAUUAAUUAGCUCCCCUUUGUUUUCCAUUAUUUGCCCAUUAAAAUGAAAAAUAUGACCGUUAUCCAUCAUAUCAAACCACCAUAUUUGAUUUUCUAUCUCUUGUUUGAGACUCGUAACGACUAUAUUUUUCAUUUUCAUUUUUAUAUUAAUGUGUACCGAACGAGUCCUUCGUAGUUUUGAUUUGGGUUUUUAUUAGAUUUUUUAGUUAAACACGCCAUGCCUGUGGACACAAUAAUCGAGAUGCGUAUUUUCUUUUCACACAUCAGAGGUGUUUGUACAAGAGAGGAAAGUGGGAAAAAAAAAUUAGAAAAAGGUCUUUUCGUUGUUCAUGAUACAUAUAAGACGUUCUAGUUUUGGGUAAGAAAAAGUCGUGGGAGUGAGAAAAAUAUUGUAUUGUGAGAUUUUUUUCAAGUAAUAAAUUCUUCUCCAGUGAUCUUUAAAGGUUUGUUGAACCACGUUAAAAUUGCAUUUUCUCUUUUCAUCUCAAUUUUUGGAUUUAUUUUAUUAUUAUUAUUUUUUAAUAGCUGCAUUUGGUGGGAUUUUUCCCUAAGUGGCAUCAAAGGUAAAGAUUCAAACUCUGGGGCAUAGCUGUGAAGAUUAUGGCAAGUUCAAAGUUUGAGGUGAAGCGUCUUGAUAGAAAAAACAAUUUUAAUAUUUGGUAAAACGUUGUGCAAGAUAUUCUCAUAGAACAUGGACUUUGCAAAGCCUAGAUGGUAAGAGGUAAUAAGGGACAAGAGAUUAGGGGCUGUUCUCUUUGUAUUUCAAUUUUGUGUUUUGAUUUUUGAGUUUCAUUUUGAAUUUUGUGUUUUGAGUGUUGUUAUUGAAAUUGUUGAAAGCAUGUUCUUUUUGUCAUUUUGAAAAAAUGUUUUCCAAAACAUAAAACUCGAAAACUUGUUCACUAUCUUGCCAAAGCCCAAGCCUGUUUCAAUUCCCAUCUCCACCACCAAAUCCACUCUUCACCCGUCACCAUCAUGUAUCAAAUUUUCGACGAUGUUGGCCACCAAGACUACCAGAUAUUGGUACCCUCAGAAAGCCUUUAACCUCUUCUUCAAUUAUCAACCAACAUCUUCCCAUAACUCCAUUGAAUUUUCCCGGAAUCCAUCCACAAAGUAGCCUACCUAAAAAUCUGAAAAUUGCCGGAAACUCCACCACCGACCCCAAAUUGAUCGGAGCCCACCACCGAUCGAUUGCCCACCACAAACUGACCCCAACCAUGGCCCCAAUUGACCACAAACAACAAUCCAACAAUCGAAUUAAACCCAGACAUAUUGGUCGUCGCGAAGCCUGAUUUGCAGAAUUCAAAUUUUGUAGAUUUUGGCGCCAUCCGGUGGACCUAUGGUCGCAGACCACGUGCGUUGAACUCCUCUUCACCUGGCGCACCUUGUCCAGCCAUGGGUCAACCCUAAUUUUGCCCAAAACUUGAUGAAUUUAUGGGCGCACCUUGAUGAAUUUAUGCCCAAAAUCGUGACUGGUAAUGACGAUGUGAGGGGGUUCGAUUGUUGAGGAAGAAGCAACGGUGGUGGUCGAUUGUUAAGGAAGAAGAGGUGACGGUGGUCGAUUGUUGAGGAAGAAUUGGUGGAGAAAUGGCUAUUCUUUCAUGGUUCUCUCACGCACAGUGGAGAAGAAAUGGAAAAGGUUGUUUUCUACGUUUUUCAUUUUUUAAGUGUUUUGUACAGAAAACACCCAAAACGACAUUUUGGUCGUUUUGUGUUUUCUUCACAAAAAAAAAUUUUUGUUUUCGAAAAUGCAUUUUCAAAAAUGGGAAAGAGAACGUGUUUUCACCGUUUUGGAAAACCAAAAACGAAAAACGGCUCGAAAAUGUCAAAGAGAACAGCCCCUUAGUGUUUUGAAUGAGAAAAUCUCCAUGGAAGUUAUGGAAAAUUUUAGAAGAGGUACAUAUGUUUAAGUCCCAAACAAAUAGACUAUAGCUCAAGAACUCUACUACACUUACAGGGGUCUGUUUUACAAAUCCAUGCCAAAUCCCUCACAGUUGCCAGCCUUGGCGUUUUUUUUUUUCAUGUGGGACUGACCCCUACAGUGAGGGGUCGGUAAGACCCCUAUAGGAAAUUGCUUUGUACAUUCCAUAGCUGAAUAAGCAAUUAUAUGAAUUAAGGAUGUUUGACCAUACUAAUGUUAGGGAUCACUUGAAUAAGUUUAACAAGUGUUUAACAUAGUUGUUAAAUGUUGAUGUUAAGAUUGAGGAUGAAGAUAAGGUGACAAUUUUGAUGUACUCUUCGCAAAGUCAUAUGAAACAUUUGUGACCACUUCGCUUGUUGAAAAUUUUAUUUUAACCAUGAGCAAGAUUUCAAUUGCCUUAUCAGAGACUCGGCAUUUAAAAUUUUGAAUUGUGAUCAAUUUCUUUGUGAAGUCUGAGGUGAACCGCGAGAAAGUAAUUAUGAUCAAGGGCAUAAUCAUUCUCAAUCUUGUACUAGAUGAGACGAGUGUUGCUACUAUCACAAGAAGGAUCACAUGUCGGGAGUGAAGAGACUUCUUGAAGCGAAAAAGGACUAAGAGGCUUCAGAUUCGACAAACGUGUUUGAUGAUGACCGUGUCUUGAAGGUGAUUUUUUGUUUGUUGCUGAUUGUGGAAGCCUAAUGAGUUCUUGAAUUUUAGUUAUGAGAUGUCCAUACUGUAUUUGCUUGUAAAAGGAGUUGUAUGAAGAUUUUAAGUCAUGAGAUUCGCAUAAGAAAGUUGAAAUUAAGGAUACGAGUACUAUGAAGGUGAAGAUAUUUGACGGAGUGGUGAUAAUAUGGAAAAGGGUUAUGCACAUUACAAGAUUUGGAGCUCUAUACAUACUGGGUUUGAAUAUUCUGCGCAAGCUGGUUUGAUGAAUGUGAAGAAAUAUUCGCUUACAAUAGUUAAAGGUAAAAAGAAUGGUAAUUUAUACAAGCUUGUAGAAAAAACAUUUGAGGUGGAGCUGUGGUGAUGGAGCUCUGGUGUUGGAGUCACACCAAGGUGGAGUUGUAACGAUCAAGUUAAACAAACAAGAGUCUUCCAGUAUUGUCAAUAAUUGUGAAAUGACAAAGAUGAGUUAUUUCGCUAAUUAUCAAAGAGAGAUACUUUCAAUAAUGAUGAAAUAUAAAAACUUAUUAAAAAUAAUUGCAUUGUAAUCAGCAAAACUCUUAAGUCCAUCAAUACAACGAAAUUGGAACUUAGAUUAGAGAAAAAUAAAAAUAAUAAAAUAAAUAAAUAAAUUCAAACUUGGAUUCAAUCGUAUAUUCUAUUUCAAAUUUAAAACCCCAGUUCUGGUAUAGGACUUGAAAAGAAUUCAGUUGUUGCCUCCCAUUGUAUUUUUAUUUAUUUAUUUUAUUUAACCAAGUUGUCAAAUUUUUAUUUCCGGUACCAUUUCACCGUGUUUGGCCCCGUUUCUAAGACCUCAAACUUAUUUUUAAACAAAUUUCAUAAGUUCCACAACUUUUAUCAACUUUCCAACUUUCAUUUACUCUUCUUUUAUUAGGAGUGCAAAAAUGUGUUAAAAAAUAAGCACACCAUAAAUUCAAGCUGUAAAGAGCUUAUAUAUCCACACGUGUCUACGAGUACAAGGAAAAAGGUAGCUUAGAGACGAAGUGGCACCGAUUAAAACUAUGUCCAUUACUUUGCACACGAGAUAAUCUAUAGCAACAUCAUCAUCAUCAAGGUAGUGCAAUGCAAACAUAUUCGUCUACGUGCACACAAUACAUAUCUACAUAGUAAAAGCUCCAUUCCGCGGCUGCUCUUCAUUCAGAUUUUCUCGAUUCAGGGUGGCUUGAAACAUGUCUAGCAGAAUUGUAAGAUGAAAUUGCUGAU